rnacentral:tRNA from 1 species
AAAUAUGAAGUUAAACAAUUAGUUUCGACCUAAUUUUUGAUAUUAAAUUAUCCAUAUUUA